rnacentral:rRNA from 1 species
AAUAAGAUACCCGGGUAGUCCACGCCGUAAACGAUGGAUGCUAGCUAUUGGGAGGUAUCGACCCCCUUACCGAAGCGAAGCUAACGCGUUAAGCAUCCCGCUUGAGUAGUACGAGCGCAAGCUUAAAACUCAAAGGAAUUGACGGGGACCCGCACAAGCGGUGGAGCGUGUGGUUUAAUUCGAUGACAAACGAUGAACCUUACCAGGACUUGACAUCCCACUAAUUUCUCCGAAAGGAGAAAGUGUCUUCGGACCGUGGUGACAGGUGUUGCAUGGCCGUCGUCAGCUCGUGUCGUGAGAUGUUGGGUUAAGUCCCGCAACGAGCGCAACCCUUAUGUUUAGUUGGAUUUUUCUAAACAGACUGCCCUGGUAACAGGGAGGAAGGAGGGGAUGAUGUCAGGUCAGUAUUACCCUUACGUCCUGGGCGACACACGGCGCUACAAUGGCCGGUACAAUGGGCAGCCAAGCAGCAAUGCGGAGCAAAUCCCAUCAAAGCCGGUCUCAGUUCGGAUUGGAGGCUGAAACUCGCCUCCAUGAAGCCGGAAUCGC